GUGUGUUUUACUAUCAAAUUUAAACAUGAAAAUAACGGUUUUUAGACCGUUAUCAAAACCGCAUUUGACCCACGAUGGAAGAGGAGGAAGCAUAGAAGUGAGGUGGCUGCUCGAUGUUGACGUGAUUGGAACGGGAAGUGAAGGCAGAGUAGAAGGUGGAGGCAGAGGCGGAGGAGACGGAAGCGGAGGCGGAGGUGGAGUUCUGGGCUGAAGGAAGGGAGACGAAACAUGACGUAGGAGAGAAUGGGGAAGGUUCUUGGGUGGGGAUCCAUGGUGGCUUGCAUUGUAAAUCAUAGGUUGAGGAGGUUGGGUGGAAGGUGGAAGAAAGGCGAAGGAGAGAGAGGGAGAAAAGGUGAGAAAAAAAAAUGGUGUCAGUUUUCCGUUAGCCACGUGAGCUCAUUUUUAACGAUGUUAGUUUUGGAGGAUUAAAAUCAAAGUUUCCUUAAGAAGGAGGACUAAAAUGUACCUUACUUUGAAAGAGAGUCUAAAACCAAAACCGCUUUGAUAGUAUAAAGACUAAAAACAUAUUUAACCCUAGUAUAAAAUAGCAUAUAGAUUAUUAAAGGGUUAAAUAUGUUUUUAGUCCCUAUACUUUAGGGUGAUUUUGGUUUUAGUCCCUCUUUCAAACUGUAGUACAAUUUAGUCCUUCAACUUUAGAAAACUCUGGUUUUAGUCCUUUUUACCAAUUUUUUUAACUUUAUUUGUUGUUUCAAAUACGUUUCUCAGUUAACAUUGAAGCAAAAAUGUGUCAAAU
rnacentral:lncRNA from 1 species